rnacentral:ncRNA from 1 species
AAUAGGCUUGGUCCUGGCCUUUCUAUUAGCUCUUAGCAAGAUUACACAUGCAAGCAUCCCCACCCCGGUGAAGACGCCCUAUUAAUCAUCAUGAUCAAGAGGAGCAAGUAUCAAGCACGCACACGCAGCUCAAAACGCUUUGCCUAGCCACACCCCCACGGGAGACAGCAGUGACAAAUAUUUAGCAAUAAACGAAAGUUCAACUAAGCCAUGCUAUAUUUAGGGUUGGUCAAUUUCGUGCCAGCUACCGCGGUCACACGAUUAACCCUAGCUAAUAGAGACCGGCGUAGAGGGUGUUUAAGAUCUGACAUAAUAAAGCUAAACUCCAUCUAAACUGUAAAACCCUAGCUAAUGUAAAAUAAACUACGAAAGUGGCUUUAAAACUUCUGAACACACAAUAGCCAAGACCCAAACUGGGAUUAGACACCCCACUAUGCUUGGCCCUAAACCUCAGUAGUUAGAUAACAAAACUACUCGCCAGAAUACUACAAGCAACAGCUUAAAACUCAAAGGACUUGACGGUGCUUUACACCCCCUAGAGGAGCCUGUUUCGUAAUCGAUAAACCCCGAUCCACCCCACCCUCUCUUGCUCAGCCUAUAUACCGCCAUCUUCAGCAAACCCUGAUAAAGGUCACAAAGUGAGCGCAAACGCCACCACCGCGAAGACGUUAGGUCAAGGUGUAGCCCAUGAGACGGUAAAAAUGGGCUACAUUUUCUAUCUCAGAAAACUCUACGAAAACCCUUAUGAAAUCUAAGAGUCCAAGGAGGAUUUAGCAGUAAAUUAAGAAUAGAGUGCUUAAUUGAACCAGGCCAUAAAGCGCGCACACACCGCCCGUCACUCCUCUCAAAUAUAUUUAAGGAAUAUCUUAACUAAACGCCCAAAUAUUUAUAUAGAGAGGAUAAGUCGUAACAUGGUAAGCGUACUGGAAGGUGCGCUUGGACAAA